rnacentral:rRNA from 1 species
ACUUUUCUUACCACCUGUGCACUUUUUGUAGACUUGGAAUAACCCUCGAGGAAACUCGGUUUUGAGGAUUGCUGUGCGCAAGCCCAGCUUUCCUUACAUUUUCCGGUCUAUGUUUUUAAAUAUACCCCCUGUAGCAUCAUAUUUUAAUUCUUCAUGGGCUUAACUGCCUUUAAAUCUAUACAACUUUCAACAACGGAUCUCUUGGCUCUCGCAUCGAUGAAGAACGCAGCGAAAUGCGAUAAGUAAUGUGAAUUGCAGAAUUCAGUGAAUCAUCGAAUCUUUGAACGCACCUUGCGCUCCUUGGUAUUCCGAGGAGCAUGCCUGUUUGAGUGUCAUGAAAUUCUCAACCUUGUCGGCUUUUACUGGCUGAUUAGGCUUGGAUAAUGGGAGUUUGCGGGCUUCUCAUAAAAAGGAAGUCGGCUCUCCUCAAAUUCAUUAGCGGGACCUUUUUGGUUGCCCCAGCCUUUUAGUGUGAUAAUUAUCUACGCUAUGGCUGAAGUGACUAGGUGCAGCUUCUAAUUGUCUUUGAGACUAUAUAUAU